AGGGCCAUAGCUCAGUUGGUUAGAGCGCUACCUUGACAUGGUAGAGGUCGUAAGUUCGAAUCUUAUUGGCCCUACCA
rnacentral:tRNA from 1 species